GACAUAACUUCCAGGAUGGCCAUUUAUUCUGCAGGAUAAAAAAAGUUAUAUAAAAUCCUUUGUUUUUUUUCCCAACCAGGUGAAGUUGGACCCCCUAGUGGUGUGCAAGGGUAUCACAGGAGGUGGAGUACCUGCCAAGGAAGAAGGCCACGUAGAAGAGUGAGGAGAAGAGAGUGAAGAACUGGAAGGUGAACAUCUUCACUGUGAAGCUUCUCUCUGUGGCAGCAAAGGAGUUUGUCUUCUCUGGACAUUCAAACACACAGGACGGAGACGGCGGGAAUAACAAAUAAUGACACUUCCAAGUAAUCUGAAGGAUGGAGCGACACCUGAUUUAUGACACAACAAACUCUAAAACAACAGACUGCGGUGGAAGGUUUCACGCAGUCUCCUGUAAACUCAGACGGAACUCUGAAGACGACACUCGGCAGAUCUGAGAUUUUGCAACACGAGCAGGCUGGACUGAUGCAGUCGGUGAACUCACCCCAAAUGGCCAUGAACAUAGCGAAGGCCACGGUGCCCUCGUUAUCAAAGAGGUGGCUGACCUGCUCAUAUCAACACAAACCAAAAUCAAAAGGCAUCGAGAGAGAGAGAGGAAGAGAGAGGGAGAGAGAGAGAGAUGUCACUGAUAAAGUGUCCAUCCAUCAACAAGCGUAGGUCAGAAGCAGCUUCUUUCAGUCGCUGCCUUUCACCAACCCUUGAUGUCAGCUGACAGAAACCGCCCACUCGUCAGGUCUGACUCACAUCAGUGGGUUUGUGUUGAAAAAGGCAAGUCCGUACAGGAAGACUACGAGGCCCAGAGCAGCAGCUGGGACCAGCAUCAUGGUGUACCAGCCCAGCCACAGUACGUUCUACAGUGGGAUGUUCUCACCUGGUGGCCUGUGAGACGCAGCCCUUGGCUUCUCCACACCAGUUACAGGAGUCGGAGACUUUGAGAAGAUACUGAUAGUCUUCAAAAAUCUCUUUGGG